rnacentral:tRNA from 1 species
GCCUAGGUGGCUCAGUCGGUUGAGCGUCUGACUUUGGCUCAGGUCAUGAUCUCAUGGUUCGUGGGUUCCAGCCCCGCAUUGGACU